rnacentral:lncRNA from 1 species
CUAUUUCUGACUUUGGCGCCUGUGUAUACUAUUUUGUAUUGUGGAGAUAAGAAUCAAGACAAACAGUCAUUUACUUCUAUCUAAAAUUCUCAACUCAGGCUGCGUCAAUAUCAAAUUUCAAGUCAAAAUUAUGAAAGAACUGAUAUUAGUGCUCAUGGUCUAAAGAAUCUCAAUCAAGAGGAACUAACACAAGAAUCAAGUAUAAACUAAGACAAUAUUCAACCCUUUCUAACAACUAUAUUCAUUGUCAAUCAAAU